UUUCUGUGCACCCAUUUGAGACAGCACUGAAGCUAAGUACUUAUGAAGUACUUUUGAAAAUUAUAAGCUCCAGAAAAAAAAAUCAGAACAGCAGUUGUCUCUUAUGGAAGUUGGAGAUGGAGAUUAACUUGGAAAAGGCAAUUUGUUAAACACUUUAUAUACACUCUUUCAUUUGGAUCCUCAGAGAAAGACUAAAGAGGCCAGCAGCCAUAUCAUGAAGACUUGAAAGCCACUCUGUGGAGAGGCCCGCAAGAGUAGAAACUGAGGCCUUCCCCAACAUCCAGGACCAACUUGCCAGCCAGAUGAGUAAGCCAUUGAAGGUGGAUCUUCCAGCCCCGUUCAAGCCAUCAGAUGACUGCAGCCCAGCUGUCAUUUGACUAAGUUUCAUGAGAACAGCCUAUUCAGAGCUU